rnacentral:rRNA from 1 species
AUUGAACGCUGGCGGCAGGCCUAACACAUGCAAGUCGAACGGUAACAGGAAGAAGCUUGCUUCUUUGCUGACGAGUGGCGGACGGGUGAGUAAUGUCUGGGAAACUGCCUGAUGGAGGGGGAUAACUACUGGAAACGGUAGCUAAUACCGCAUAACGUCGCAAGACCAAGGAGGGGGACCUUCGGGCCUCUUGCCAUCGGAUGUGCCCAGAUGGGAUUAGCUAGUAGGUGGGGUAACGGCUCACCUAGGCGACGAUCCCUAGCUGGUCUGAGAGGACGACCAGCCACACUGGAACUGAGACACGGUCCAGACUCCUACGGGAGGCAGCAGUGGGGAAUAUUGCACAAUGGGCGCAAGCCUGAUGCAGCCAUGCCGCGUGUAUGAAGAAGGCCUUCGGGUUGUAAAGUACUUUCAGCGGGGAGGAAGGGAGUAAAGUUAAUACCUUUGCUCAUUGACGUUACCCGCAGAAGAAGCACCGGCUAACUCCGUG